AUGAACGCUGGCGGCGUGCCUCAUACAUGCAAGUCGAGCGAACAGAUAAGGAGCUUGCUCCUUUGACGUUAGCGGCGGACGGGUGAGUAACACGUGGAUAACCUACCUAUAAGACUGGGAUAACUUCGGGAAACCGGAGCUAAUACCGGAUAACAUAUUGAACCGCAUGGUUCAAUAGUGAAAGGCGGCUUUGCUGUCACUUAUAGAUGGAUCCGCGCCGUAUUAGCUAGUUGGUAAGGUAACGGCUUACCAAGGCAACGAUACGUAGCCGACCUGAGAGGGUGAUCGGCCACACUGGAACUGAGACACGGUCCAGACUCCUACGGGAGGCAGCAGUAGGGAAUCUUCCGCAAUGGGCGAAAGCCUGACGGAGCAACGCCGCGUGAGUGAUGAUGGUCUUCGGAUCGUAAAACUCUGUUAUCAGGGAAGAACAAAUGUGUAAGUAACUGUGCACAUCUUGACGGUACCUGAUCAGAAAGCCACGGCUAACUACGUG
rnacentral:rRNA from 1 species